rnacentral:piRNA from 1 species
UAAGGCUCAGCUUUGAUGCAACGGGUGGUU